CACGCCCUGAGCUGAAGGCAGAUGCUUAACUGCUGUGCCACCCAGGCGCCCCAAUAAGGAAACAGAACCUACAUCUGUGGCAAUAGGGGGCACUCCCCCACCAUGAAGAAGAAAUUAAAAGGUAUUUUAUGUUUCACGUGGACGUUUCAGUGGACUUACUUCUGGCAAAAACUAGCAGACCGAGUGGUUAGUGUGCAGUAUGACAACUCAAAAUGAGAGUGCAGAUACAAGAUCAUGUGAGAAGACCAAAGGGAGAGGACAAACAGAACAUAAAUUUCAAUCAGAGAAAAGCAAGAGCACCCAACUCUGGCCCCCCACAUAUGCAGAAUAUCUGCAGAGAAAAGUGGGUAAUUCCUAAGAAUCUGUGGAGAACUUUUUUCUUGGGGGUAGAGGGCAGGGGGUUAUAUAAUUCCUGUUGGAAAUAACACAGAUCCAUGUGAAGAAGAUUAAGGAUGUUUUAAGGAAUGCCAAAGGUAACCAUACAUUUGGGGCAGCAACAGGGAGUGUGUGGAGAAAAAGAGAAGGCCCCUGCUUUGGAGAGCUGCCACAGUCCAGCCAGAGGCAACAACAGUAAUUUUGGGAAAAGUGAUACGGCAGAAAGAAUAAUCAGUUUGAAAGCUCAAGCUGAUAUAGCUUUUAAGCACUGUGACAUGUUAGGUCAUGACUGUUUCAUGUUUACUUUCAAUGAAACAAUACAACACUAUAACUUUACC